AGAGUUUGAUCCUGGCUCAGAACGAACGCUGGCGGCGUGGAUAAGACAUGCAAGUCGAACGGGACUUCAUUUGUAGCAAUGCACGUGAAGUUCAGUGGCGCAAGGGUGCGUAACACGUGGGCAAUCUGCCGAGAUGUGGGGGAUAGCUCGCCGAAAGGCGAAUUAAUACCGCAUGUGGUUAGUGCUGGAUUCAGCGCGACACCAAAGCCGGGGCAACCUGGUGCAUCUUGAUGAGCCCGCGGCCUAUCAGCUAGUUGGUGAGGUAACGGCUCACCAAGGCUAUGACGGGUAGCUGGUCUGAGAGGACGACCAGCCACACUGGAGCUGAGACACGGUCCAGACACCUACGGGUGGCAGCAGUCGAGAAUUUUUCUCAAUGGGGGAAACCCUGAAGGAGCGACGCCGCGUGGAGGAUGAAGGUCUUCGGAUUGUAAACUCCUGUCAUUUGGGAACAAUUGUUGGCGAUUAACUGUCGUCAGCUUGAUAGUACCAGAAGAGGAAGAGACGGCUAACUCUGUGCCAGCAGCCGCGGUAAUACAGAGGUCUCAAGCGUUGUUCGGAUUCAUUGGGCGUAAAGGGUGCGUAGGUGGCGAGGUAAGUCAGGUGUGAAAUCUCGGGGCUCAACCCCGAAACUGCACUUGAUACUGCCUUGCUGGAGUACUGGAGAGGAGAUUGGAAUUUACGGUGUAGCAGUGAAAUGCGUAGAUAUCGUAAGGA
rnacentral:rRNA from 1 species